GCAGGCUUGAGUCUUGUAGAGGGGGGUAGAAUUCCAGGUGUAGCGGUGAAAUGCGUAGAGAUCUGGAGGAAUACCGGUGGCGAAGGCGGCCCCCUGGACAAAGACUGACGCUCAGGUGCGAAAGCGUGGGGAGCAAACAGGAUUAGAUACCCUGGUAGUCCACGCCGUAAACGAUGUCUACUUGGAGGUUGUGCCCUUGAGGCGUGGCUUCCGGAGCUAACGCGUUAAGUAGACCGCCUGGGGAGUACGGCCGCAAGGUUAAAACUCAAAUGAAUUGACGGGGGCCCGCACAAGCGGUGGAGCAUGUGGUUUAAUUCGAUGCAACGCGAAGAACC
rnacentral:rRNA from 14 species